CCUCUCCCUAUAGAGAUUAAGGUACAGUCUCGGUCCUCUCCCUAUAGAGAUUAAGGUAGUCUCUGUCCUCUCUGUAUAGAGAUUAAUGUACUGUCUCUGUCCUCUCCCUAUAGAGAUUAAGGUACUGUCUCGGUCCUCUCGGUACAGUCACAGUCCUCUCAUCUCUGUAUAGAGAUUAAGGUAGUCUCGGUCCUCUCCCUAUAGAGAUUAAGGUACAGUCUCGGUCCUCUGUAUAGAGAUUAAGGUACAGUCUCGGUCCUCUCGGUACAGUCACAGUCCUCUCAUCUCUGUAUAGAGAUUAAGGUAGUCUCGGUCCUCUCCCUAUAGAGAUUAAGGUGUAGUCUCGGUCCUCUCCCUAUAGAGAUUAAGGUACAGUCUCGGUCCUCUCCCUAUAGAGAUUAAGGUAGUCUCUGUCCUCUCUGUAUAGAGAUUAAGGUACUGUCUCUGUCCUCUCCCUAUAGAGAUUAAGGUACAGUCUCGGUCCUCUCGGUACAGUCACAGUCCUCUCAUCUCUGUAUAGAGAUUAAGGUACCGUAUCAGUCCUCUCUGUGUAGAGUGUUAGGUACAGGUCCUCUACUUCAAGACUCUUGGAAAAGCAUUCCAGGUGAAGCUGGUUGAGAGAAUGCCCAGAGUGUGCAAAGCUGUCAUAUAAAGGCAAAGGUUGGCUCUUGAAAAAUCUCAAAUAUAUUUUAUAUUUUGAUUUGUUUAACACUUACAUAGUUCUCAUGUCUUCACUAUUUAUUCUACAAUUUAGAAAAAAGUACAAAUAAAGAAAAACCCUGGAAUGAGUCGGUGUAAACUGUGUAUGUCUAUCAAACCCAGGUGGCUGUAUUGGCAUGGGAAACGUAUGAUAGCGUUGCCAAAACAAGGGGAAGUUGAUAAUACUCAAAAGUGAAAUAAACUGAACAUUACACUCACAGAAGUUUCCUAAAGAAUAAAGACAUUUCAAAUGUCA